GGGCGCGCGGCGAUUGGCCGGGAGCGCGCGAGGCGGCCGGUCGCCCGGGGCUGCGGAGCCGGCGGGAGCGGCGGCCCCGGCCCGGAGGACGGCGGCCCCACGGAGGUUGCUUUUAAGUGUUUGGAGAAGGAGCUGAACCCAAGAGAGCGGAAGUUGGUGUGAGAGACUUCUCAGCGUAAUUCAGAAUGAUUGAAGAGAGUGGGAAGAGGAGGAGGACGAUGGCGGAGAAGAGGCAGCUGUUCAUGGAGAUGAGAGCACAGAAUUUUGAUGUCAUCAGACUUUCAACGUAUCGAACAGCCUGCAAACUGCGCUUUGUACAAAAACGGUGUAAUCUUCAUCUCGUUGAUAUCUGGAAUAUGAUUGAAGCCUUCCGAGACAAUGGCCUUAACACUUUAGAUCAUAACACAGAGAUUAACGUGUCUCGACUAGAAACAAUCAUUUCAUCCAUCUACUACCAGCUAAACAAACGCCUGCCUUCUACUCACCAGAUCAGCGUAGAGCAAUCCAUAAGCCUCCUCCUCAACUUCAUGAUAGCAGCGUAUGACAGUGAGGGCCACGGGAAGUUGACGGUGUUUUCUGUGAAAGCCAUGUUAGCGACGAUGUGUGGUGGGAAAAUACUGGAUAAGCUCAGAUAUAUUUUCUCUCAAAUAUCAGACUCAAAUGGACUAAUGAUAUUCACCAAGUUUGACCAGUUCUUGAAGGAAGUUCUGAAGCUCCCGACAGCGGUAUUUGAGGGGCCUUCCUUCGGGUACACAGAGCAUUCUGUACGCACCUGCUUCCCACAACAAAAAAAGAUCAUGCUAAACAUGUUUUUAGACACAUUGAUGGCUGAUCCACCUCCUCAGUGCCUUGUGUGGCUGCCUCUCAUGCACAGACUUGCCCAUGUUGAAAAUGUCUUCCAUCCCGUGGAAUGCUCAUACUGCCGUUGUGAGAGCAUGAUGGGAUUCCGGUAUCGAUGCCAGCAGUGCCACAACUACCAGCUCUGUCAAAACUGCUUCUGGCGUGGUCAUGCGAACGGUCCUCACAGCAACCAGCACCAGAUGAAGGAGCACUCCUCUUGGAAAUCACCAGCGAAGAAGCUGAGCCACGCCAUUAGCAAAUCGCUCGGCUGCGUACCCAGCAGAGAGCCGCCUCGGCCUGUGUUUCCCGAGCAGCCGGAAAAGCCCCUCGAUCUGGCCCAUAUAGUUCCUCCGAGGCCACUGGCUAACAUGAAUGACACCAUGGUGACCCACGUGUCCUCGGGAGCCCCUACACCUACCAAAAGGUCCCGGUGCCUCCCAGAUCCGGCCAGCCGAUUAGCUGACGAGCACGCUCUGAUAGCAGCCUACGUGAGCCGGCUGCAGAACGGUGUGCGGUUAGCGUUAGGAAAGCCUUCCCGGAGCAGUGACGGCAGUGUCCUGGACAGCCCUGGCCGACUGGAUGAGGAGCACCGGCUGAUCGCCCGCUACGCCGCCCGGCUGGCUGCCGAAGCUGGAAGUGCGCCUCGCCCACCAACAGACCUGACUUUCAGCUUUGAUGCCAAUAAACAACAAAGACAGCUGAUCGCAGAGCUGGAAAACAAAAACAGGGAGAUACUCCAAGAAAUCCAGCGUCUCCGGCUGGAACAUGAGCAAGCCUCACAGCCCACCCCAGAGAAAGCCCAGCAGAACCCAACAUUAUUGGCUGAACUCAGGCUUCUACGGCAGAGAAAGGACGAGUUAGAACAGAGGAUGUCUGCGCUGCAAGAAAGCAGAAGAGAACUGAUGGUGCAGCUUGAAGGGCUGAUGAAACUGCUCAAAGAAGAAGAGCAAAAGCAGGCAGCGCAAGCAGCAGGCUCAGCACACUCCUCGCCCACCCACGGAGCCAGCCACCCUAUGCCCAUGCCCAUCAGAUCCACCUCCGCUGGCUCAACCCCAACUCACGUCCCACAGGAGGGGCUUGCAGGCGUUGGGGGAGAUGCGCAGGAAGCUUUCAUACAAGGUACAAGGAGGAACCUCCGCAACGACCUGCUAGUAGCAGCCGAUUCCAUCACCAACACCAUGUCCUCACUGGUGAAGGAGCUCCACUCAGCCGAGGAAGAAGAUGAAGAGGAAACAGAAAAGCUGCAGAAUGGAAAGGACCGAGGUUAGCUGGACACCCGAGGGUUGUACAGAAAUUCAGGUUGUCUGUGGUCCAAGAUGAGGAGCUCUGGGCUCAGCAGGACACUUGAUGGUCAUGGCAUGGAGGGUUACACUUACGACCGAGAGACGUCUCCCAUCCUUUGGAAGAGGCACGUUUCAGCUGACACAUUCACCAUCGUGCAACUGUGACCGAUCUCAACCACCUGCUGAAGAAAGCGGCUUUCUCCAAUCCACCUGAAGGGUUUUCCCCGUGGGCAUUUGCCUCUUAGGUCAUUGCAUGUCCUGUUUUCCUCCAUGCGUUUACUAAUGAUAAUCAGACAAUGCCGCAUCGAACUAAGCAAUGAAUGGGAGGUUUACAAAGCAAACGCAAAAGGAAAGCGAAUGCUCCCUGCUCCUGCUAAGUGUACGGAUUGUUUCUGAUUGCCUCCCAAACGGCGUCGUCACAUGCUGAUUAUCGCCUCUUGCCUUCUGCCCCUCGGUAUGCAUGAAAAACAUGGGAGUAGAACCUCCAGGGUCCUCUCCAAGGGGAUUCUGCCUUUGAGAACCCCACCUUCUCCAAACACUGCUGCCUGUCGGUGUCUGGUUGCCAUCGCGUGUGAUGUCACGGGUCGUGCUGGGAGUAAGGACAGGGCAAUGAGCCACCAGCAUUCCCAGCAUUCCCAGCUCAGCUUCUCCUCAGACUGUUAAAAAAUCUCCUUUUGCAAGCAGGAAAUUCAGGGAGGAGCAUUGCAAGGCUUGGGUUGGUGUCUCUGCCUUCACUGUCAGGGGUCAGGUUCAGUUUUGUUUAAGAGGAAGAACCGAGUUGCGUUGUCCCAGCUUGGCCGCUCCCCAGUUAAAUACUCACUGGGAUCUACUUCCAUAGCUACUUAGAAAACAUCAUUAUCAGUUCCAAUCACUUCUGAUUUGGUUUUUCUUUCCCUUGGCGCUUGGGAAGGUUAUUUUUAGUGGAAGAAGCCAAGGGCCCUAAUGCAACUAUAAAUAUUUAUCAGGGGUGAUGAAUGGAAGGGAUUGAUAGACCCUGAAACCAGCCCUCAGCUUUUCUUCCCAUCUCAGCUGAUAUGCAGCCACAGUUCUUAGCGAAAAGAGCUCGUUGGGUACCUACAGCCCUCGAGGAGAGAGAAAAUAAACACGCAUGGUGGCCACAGGUUCAGUUGAGUAUAAAUAUUGUGAAUGAGCUGUCAGGAAGGGAAGGGAAGUGAUGAUAACCUGGUGCGGCGUGGCAGCCUCACUGCCAAAGGGAGUGCGCUCUCGGAGACCGGGCAGGCUUCGUCUGCAUUUGCAGCUGAAUUUGCUGAAUUGGGACCUGCAGCGGCUUUGGCUGCAGCUCCGGGCGGGUUCAAGCACUGAAAAUAGGGAUGUUUUGCUGAUGGUUGUGCUCAGGGAGCAGCUGGAGUGGUGAAGGUUGUUGCAGCCAGACGUAGUAGGGCUGCACAGGCAUCGGGGCCUUCCUCCUCCUGCCCAGCAGUGUGAGCAGCUGGAGAGUUUGCAUUGCUCUGAUGGGAUCUCCCAGUACCUUGUGAGGGUGAGUGCCUGGGCAUUCCCAGCCGAAGCUGUUGGUCUGUCAUCGGAGCCGCAGGCAUCCUCCAGGGACUGGAUAUCUGAGUGCCAGAGGUGGGGGCUGUGCGUGGGGCAGCACAGGGCAGCGAUGGGAGAGCCCCUGGCAGGUGCGGGUUGCUGGAGUGGAAGCCGUUGCCUCCUUGAAGAUGCCACGGUAUGGAAGGGGAAGGAAGGGUUGACUACCCACAUCCUGUGACCAUCAGGGAAGUGUGUUACACAUGGAACCUGGAUCGCAGGGGAGCACCACAGUUGCUGGGUUUUUUCCAGUUCUUACUCACCCUUCUCGCUUUUGCUACCAUGACUGCCAGAAGGCAAAGCCACCUCAGCCACGAGUGUUCCUCUGGGCUUGUGGUCCAGGAGGAGCUGGAGAGGCACAGGUGACACCACCAGGACCUGCCACCACUGCCCCAGCUGGUCAGGCACUCUGAAGGGAGACCUUGAGAAUCGCCCCGGGUCAGGGCUCUUGCAGCCAUCACCUCCAAAGCUCGAGUAGGAGAGGAGGGUGCUGAUGCCUUUCCUCCCUGGUCCCAGGAACGAUGACAUCUGAGCUUUGUUCGGAAAAGCUGAUGGGAUCAGCAUGGUUUUGUACAGAUGCAGCCAGUUUACGGUCGGUGUCCGUUCAAUGCGACCCUGCGGCUGUGGCUCUGCAUUCCCUCACCCCCAGGGCUGUUUUUCAGCCAGGAGAGCGGUUUAGCAGAUGCUUUGUAUUAUUGCAAGGCUGGGACUGCAGGUUGGAGCCGGCUGCUGCUGGGAGGACAGUGUUUGCCCAGGAAGUUGCUUCCAGAGUGGGAGAAAUCAUCGUGUGUGUCUCCCCUGAAGCAGAAGGUCCUGGAAAGGCUGAAGUCCUGCAGUCACAGCUCUGAUAAUGUGCACCCUGCAACCAGCAAGAGCAUCCAGGCACUGGGAGCGAUGGAGAGCAGGGAGCUAGUGAAUGGAUCCGGGCUGCUUGCAUGCGUAGGGUCACCGAGGCAGGAGCUUAAUUGCACGUGUCCUCGUAACGUUGCUGCUGCUAGCUUCGCUCUGCCAUCGGUGCAGUGAUGGGAGUUACACCGCAGGGUCCCCCAGCCUUCCCCAUGUAGUGACGCUGAGGAGAGCAUGGUUCGCUGGCUAGGCAGUGUGGGCAGGCUGUCGUGACAUGCCCCUGAGGGUCUCAGAGGUCCUAGGUCACCAAGGGUCUCAUUCAGGAGGUCACCAUGGUCCCCAGACCUUGUGGGGAAGCCCAGCAUCCAGCACACCAGUGCAGACUGUCUGGCUACCCUGGGGUCUGCCCUCACCACACUGCUGCCCCAGGCACAGGUCUGGCACCAGUGUGGGCUCACAGGAGGGCGUGGACUGGUCCAGCAGAGCCUGGGAAGCACCGGAACAGGCACAGGUACUGACAUCCAAGCUCGGCUGUGGCCAUUGAGGAUGUUGCUGUGCCAGGAUGCCUGGGAUCUUUCUGAACCCCAGUGAUGCUGACAUCUCCUCCAGUAGUGAUGUACUGGAAUGUUGUGUGGGGGGAAACCACCUGGCACCUCAGCUUGCUUACGGUCAACUGUAAAACCUGCUUAUGGACUCAUGUUUGCCUUUGGAAUACUCGCCUUAAACCCCCCAGAGGAAUGGUUCAUGAUGGGAUGUAACUCAUGUCUCUAGGCUGUGUCCGGGUCCAAUGUGACUGGAGUUUGGGGGUUCCCAAGCUACCGUGCCAGAGGCACUGGCUGCCUGUCUGAAUCCUUGCUCAGUGCCUAGGAUGCAAGGGGGAUCGGCUCUGCGCAACCGGAGAGCUCCUGGGGUCAGAGCCAGGGCUGUGCGUGUGUGGGUGUGCAUGCAUGUGCGUGGGCACUGCUGGCAGUGUCGCGUGCCUGUGCUGCGCUCAGGAGACCCAUUGGAUCCAGGCUUCCCUGCUGGUGCCUCCCUGCCCAUCUCUUCUGCCCACCGCCUGCCCGCAUCCCCGAGCCUGCCAGUAAAGGAUAAAUAACCACGGAUACGGUUCGUUUCUUUCAAAACUGGGGGUUCUUUAUGCAGCUAGGGGGUCACUUGGUCGGGACCCCAAAAUGGGAGUCACCAGAAAGGGCAGGGCCAGAUCCAGAGCCUGAUGGACGGCAGGGCAUGGUGCUGUCGGAGCCAGGCAGUGGGCAGGGGCUGCAGUGUCGGGCAUCACUGCCAAGUCUGGGGGUCGGUGCAUUGAGACAGGCAUAGGGAGUAGCUGCUGCGUGCUCUGCGGUGACAUCGGCCCUGUCUGUGCAAUAAAUCCCUCGCCAACGCUGCCCAAACCCCUGACAUCGCCCCGGCAGCCUGCAAAACUGCCUUUGGGUCGCCUGUGCUUUCCUGGGGGGCUGUCCCCCUCCCAAGGGAUGCCCGAUGCCCUGUACAGACCCACUGCAGCAUAGCUACAGCUGCUGGAAUUAAGUCUCUUCUCAAUUACCACUUGGGCUGAGCAGGGGCUGGGGCAGGGGCUGGGGCUCCUGGCACCUUCUCCUGCCGGUAGCACACAUCGAAUUUGGAUCGCAGUGAACCUUUGCCAUUUCCCUAGGGCCAAACCUGCCUGAACAAGAAAUCAAAAUUCCGCCUGGAAACAUUUAUCUGUGGAUAGAGCCAUGUCCUCGCGUUGGCAGCCCUGGCUGGUGACUUGGUGCUGGGGGGGUUGAUGCCAGAAAAGGGAAAACCCCAGUUUCAUGAGGCAGGGAACAGUGUUCCUAAGGCAGGGAACAGGGCCAAGGUGCACUGCGGAGAUUCCCAGCCCAGCUGUUCUGUGGGUGAUGUGCACAAGGGACACAGCAGCUACAGCCGCCCUUGGCACAGGUGGAGGCUCCUGGGCUCCCCAGAUCCUGGCCAUGCCCACCCAAACAGGGCAUCCCCAGCAGUUGAAGGGCGAGGACCACACCAAGCCUUCACACCGUUCCCUGUAUCCAGCACCAGGCAAACGCAGCAGGCAUGGGAGGUGCGGGAGCGGUUGUCAAACCCGCGCUGGAGCCAAUGCUGUAAGCGUGGGGAAUGUCUCCAAAAGAAACCUGUGAACUGGAAGCCAUGUUCUGUCAUCUGCCAAACACUGAAUAAAUUCA